CAGUUAACCAGGAACAGGAAGAUAGAGAGCAUCUUAACAACAUCUAAGUUACACAAGAAAGGGUGCAGCCUUUUAUGCUAUGGUAAAUAUAUAUGUGCGUCUUUUAUUUUUUGCCUAUUAGUAUAUGCUUUGUAUGUAUGACCUUUUGUGUUCUUUGUUACAUAUUCGUUUGUUUUUAUAGUGAUUAGGAUUAUAACACAAUAUUGACUGUUGUACCCCUAUUUUGACAUUUUACCUAUUACCGGGUAUGUCUAUAUGUUUUGUUCACAACAUCAUUUUCAAGUUAGCUAUAAAACAAGGUUUGAUCCACCAUUUUCUACAUAGGAA
rnacentral:lncRNA from 1 species